AGUGAACGCUGGCGGUAGGCCUAACACAUGCAAGUCGAACGGCAGCACAGGAGAGCUUGCUCUCUGGGUGGCGAGUGGCGGACGGGUGAGGAAUACAUCGGAAUCUGCUCAGUCGCGGGGGAUAACGCAGGGAAACUUACGCUAAUACCGCAUACGACCUUCGGGUGAAAGGGGGGGAUUGCAAGACCUCUCGCGAUUGGAUGAGCCGAUGUCGGAUUAGCUAGUUGGCGGGGUAAUGGCCCACCAAGGCGACGAUCCGUAGCUGGUCUGAGAGGAUGAUCAGCCACACUGGAACUGAGACACGGUCCAGACUCCUACGGGAGGCAGCAGUGGGGAAUAUUGGACAAUGGGCGCAAGCCUGAUCCAGCCAUACCGCGUGGGUGAAGAAGGCCUUCGGGUUGUAAAGCCCUUUUGUUGGGAAAGAAAUCUUUCAGGCUAAUACCCUGGGAGGAUGACGGUACCCAAAGAAUAAGCACCGGCUAACUUCGUG
rnacentral:rRNA from 1 species